rnacentral:rRNA from 1 species
UACGAAGGGGGCUAGCGUUGCUCGGAAUCACUGGGCGUAAGGGGUGCGUAGGCGGGUCUUUAAGUCAGGGGUGAAAUCCUGGAGCUCAACUCCAGAACUGCCUUUGAUACUGAGGAUCUUGAGUCCGGGAGAGGUGAGUGGAACUGCGAGUGUAGAGGUGAAAUUCGUAGAUAUUCGGAAGAACACCAGUGGCGAAGGCGGCUCACUGGUCCGGUACUGACGCUGAGGUGCGAAAGCGUGGGGAGCAAGCAGG